rnacentral:rRNA from 1 species
UGAAUACGAGACGCUAAGGCGUCGAAGUAGUGUAUGUCAUACUUCCAAGAAAAGCUUGCACUGUCAUAGAUAAAAAACGCCUGUACCAUAACCGACACAGGUGGGUAGGUAGAGUAUACUAAGGGGCGCGAGAUAACUCUCUCUAAGGAACUCGGCAAAAUAACUCCGUAACUUCGGGAGAAGGAGUGCCUUAUUAUUAAGGCUGCAAUAACAAGAUCCAAGCAACUGUUUAUCAAAAACACAGGUCUCCGCUAAGUCGUAAGACGAUGUAUGGGGGCUGACGCCUGCCCAGUGCCAGAAGGUUAAAGAAGUUGGUUAGCAUUUGCGAAGCUGAUAACUGAAGCCCUGGUGAACGGCGGCCGUAACUAUAACGGUCCUAAGGUAGCGAAAUUCCUUGUCGGGUAAGUUCCGACCCGCACGAAAGGCGUAAUGAUUUGGAUACUGUCUCGGAGAGGGGCUCGGUGAAAUAGACUUGCCUGUGAAGAUGCGGACUACCUGCACCAGACAGAAAGACCCUAUGAAGCUUUACUGUAACUUGAAAUUGAAAUUGGACUUUAUUCGCGCAGCAUAGGUGGGAGGCGUUGAUUAUAAUCUUGUGGGAUUAUUGGAGCCAUCAGUGAGAUACCACUCUUGUAAUGUUAGAUUUCUAACUUUGAAUCAUUAUCUGGUCAAAGAACAGUUUCAGGCGGGCAGUUUGACUGGGGCGGUCGCCUCCUAAACGGUAACGGAGGCGUACAAAGGUUUCCUCUGAACGGUUAGAAAUCGUAUCUAGAGUGUAAAGGCAUAAGGAAGCUUGACUGUGAGACCUACAAGUCGAGCAGGGACGAAAGUCGGUCUUAGUGAUCUGACGGUACUGAGUGGAAAGGCCGUCACUCAACGGAUAAAAGUUACUCUAGGAUAACAGGCUGAUCUCCCCCAAGAGUUCACAUCGACGGGGAGGUUUGGCACCUCGAUGUCGGCUCAUCGCAUCCUGGGGCGGUAGUACGUCCCAAGGGUUGGGCUGUUCGCCCAUGAAAGCGGUACGCGAGCUGGGUUCAGAACGUCGUGAGACAGUUCGGUCCAUAUCCGGUGUAGGCGUUAGAAUAUUGAGAGGAGCCUUCUUUAGUACGAGAGGACCGAGAAGGACAUACCUCUGGUGUACCAGUUAUCGUGCCAACGGUAAACGCUGGGUAGCUAUGUAUGGAGUGGAUAACCGCUGAAAGCAUCUAAGUGGGAAGCCCACCUCAAGAUAAGUAUUCUCAUC